GCUUACGGCCACACCUCCCUGAGCACGUCUGAUCUCGGAAGCUAAGCAGGGUCGGGCCCGGUUAGUACUUGGAUGGGAGGACCGCCUGGGAAUACCAGGUGCUGUAAGCC
rnacentral:rRNA from 1 species